GGGGUUGUAGCUCAAUGGUAGAGCACUCGCCUAGCGCAUGAGAGGCCCUGGGUUUAAUUCUCAGCACCACA
rnacentral:tRNA from 1 species